rnacentral:lncRNA from 1 species
GCUCAGAGGAAGUGCUCCCUCGCCAUGCCGCCCGCCAUCCCAGCAUGUCAGUUAGCCACAAGGCUAACAAGACAUUUGCCCUGGGCAUUUGGGGGCGGCAAAAAAAGCCGCCCCCAAAUGCCCAGGGCAAAUGUCUUGUUUGCCUUGUGGCUAAAACGUCCCUGGUGGAGCUUGCAGCACUGGAUACACAGAGCUAGUCUCUGUUUACAUCAUUGCAUUGUCUACCUGAGUGUGUGUAUCUGACAGUGAGUAUCCUUGUAUCUGUAUGUAUGUUUCUCUGAGCAUGUGUAUGCUUGUGUACUGACUGGCCUUUGGCACUGAGUUUAUGGCGAUGCUAUGUUUUAUGACGGUGUGUAUAAUGAUUGCCUAUGGGGGGGUGACAGGGUGAGUAAAGGGGUAACUGGCAGGGUGAGUGUAGAAGAGCAGGAGGGUGCCUGCGUGUUGAGGGUUGACGGUGUGCAUGGAGGGAGGUGCCAGAGUGCGGAGAGUGGUGGCCGUGUGGGGAGGGUGACAUAGUGUGAGAGGGUGGGUGAUGAGGUG